CCCUGACUGACUUUUUAACGAACUCCUCUUGCCACUGGUGGUGACUUCAACCAUCACUUUUCUGUCAUGCAUCUGACUGCAAGCUGUACAAACUCUGCUGUCAUCAUAUCCAAGGCAGUGAGUUGUGAGGACUGCUUCCCUGAGAACACCGAGUGCAUUCUGGAAUAUUACAAAUGUGUGCCACUUCCAUACAAAAGAAGUUUCAAUCCCGCAAGAGAGUUCACUCACCAAGUAGAGACAGACACACACACGUAGAAUAGCAAAUAUCAUUAUAAUGUGUUUGCAUGUAUUUGUGUCUGUUGCUGUGUUUAUUUUAUCCCCUUUUUUCAUGUGUCUGUUUGUUGUUAUGACUGUAGUGUGGGCUCCAUCAACAGACCAGGGCAAAGUCGGUCUGUCCUGCUACUACUACAUGCUACUUGACUAUGUCUGGAAGCCAUGGCUGCUGCCCUCAACAUGCUAAACUGAAACCCUCACAAAUAAACUGAUAUCAAGAAUUAACAUUGAUGAUGAUGGUUGCAAGGGUGCCUUCAUAAGGUGCCAUCCAGCAAGUCCCAGCCUGGAGCCAGAGGCUGGCACUGCACGUCAGAUGGGGGAGGAUCUAUGUUAGGCAUCAGAAAGGUGGUUUAAGCAAGAAGGCAAGAGCUUCUGCAGACAGUGUUGCAAUUAGACACCUGACUUUUACUGCCAAAGGGACCAUCAGAGCACCUCUUCCUACCAUCUAUACCAGAAGAGUACGGACAAGGGCCCAAAAUGUUUUAAAGGACGUUUCACACCCAGACCAUGGACUGUUUAAACCACUGUGGUCAAGCAGAAGUCUCUGUUCUCACUCAAGGCAGGUCAUUGAGAGGGGGCGAGUGUCACUGCGUAAGCCCCCUACUGCAGGCGAGAAAGCCAUGUUGAUUUGAAUAUUGAUUGAUAAAUACAAUAAAGGCCAUGUAACAAA